GCUCGAGCUGUUGUGGGGUCCGCGCGGGAGUCGGGGUGGCAGAGCCAUGGUCAGGCAACUGAGUGAGGGGGCCAUUGCGACCAUCAUGCAGCAGGGGGAUACAUCCAUAAAGCCCAUCCUCCAAGUCAUCAACAUCCCUCCCAUUACUAUGGGGAAUAGUCCUCCAUGUUAUCGACUGCUUGUGAGUGAUGGAUUGAACCCUCUAUCCUCUUUCAUGUUGGCAACACAGUUGAACCCGCUUGUGGAGCAAGAACAACUGUCCAGCAACUGUGUUUGCCAGAUUAACUGAUUUAUCGUGAACACUUUGAAAGACGGAAGGAGAGUAGUUAUUUUGAUGGAAUUAGAAGUUUUGAAGUCCGCUGAAGCAGUUGGAGUAAAGAUUGGCAAUCCAGUGCCCUAUAAUGAAGGACACGGGCAGCCACAAGCAGCUCCUCCAGUGUCAGCAGGCAGCCCAGCGGCAAGCAGCAAGCCCCAGCACUAGCACGGAAGCUCCGGAGCGGGUUCCACUGUUUCUAAGGCUUAUGGUGCUUCAAAGACAUUUGGAAAAGCUGGAGGUCCCAGCCUGUCAAACACUUCUGGGGGAACACAGUCCAAAGUGGUGCCCAUUGCCAGCCUCACUCCUUACCAGUUCAAGUGGACUAUUUGUGCUCAUGUUACCAACAAAAGUCAGAUCUGUACCUGGAGCAAUUCCCGAGGGGAAGGGAAGCGUUUCUCUCUGGAACUGGUUGAUGAAAGUGGUGAAAUCAGAGCUACAGCUUUCAACGAGCAACGAGCAAGUGGACAAGUUCUUUCCCCUUAUUGAAGUGAACAAGGUGUAUUAUUUCCCAAAAGGCACCCUGAAGAUUGCUAACAAACAGUUCACAGCUGUUAAAAAUGACUUCGAGAUGACCUUCAAUAACGAGACUUCCGUCAUGCCCUGUGAAGACGGCCAUCAUUUACCUACGGUUCAGUUUGAUCUCACGGGGAUUGAUGACCUGGAGAACAAGAUGAAAGACUCACUUGUAGAAAUCAUGGGGAUCUGCAAGAGCUACGAAGAUGCCACUAAAAUCACAGUGAGGUCUAACAACAGAGAGGUUGCGAAGAGGAAUAUCUACUUAAUGGACACAUCCGGGAAGGUGGUGACUGCUACGCUGUGGGGGGAAGAUGCUGAUAAAUUUGAUGGUUCUAGGCAGCCCGUAUUGGCUAUCAAAGGAGCCAGAGUCUCUGAUUUCGGUGGACGGAGCCUCUCCGUGCUGUCUUCAAGCACUAUCAUUGCGAAUCCUGACAUCCCGGAGGCCUAUAAGCUUCGUGGUUGGUUUGACGCAGAAGGACAAGCCUUAGACGGUGUUUCCAUCUCUGAUCUAAAGAGCGGCAGUGUUGGAGGGGGCAACACCAACUGGAAAACCUUGUACGAGGUCAAAUUCGAGAACCUGGGCCAAGGCAACAAGCCGGACUACUUCAGUUCUGUGGCCACAGUGGUGUAUCCUCGCAAAGAGAACUGCAUGUACCAAGCCUGCCCGACUCAGGACUGCAAUAAGAAAGUGAUUGAUCAACAGAACGGAUUGUACCGCUGUGAGAAGUGCGACACCGAAUUUCCCAAUUUCAAGUACCACAUGAUCCUGUCAGUAAAUAUUGCAGAUUUUCAAGAGAAUCAGUGGGUGACUUGUUUCCAGGAGUCUGCUGAAGCUAUCCUUGGACAAAAUGCUGCUUAUCUUGGGGAUUUAAAAGAUAAGAAUGAACAGGCAUUUGAAGAAGUUUUCCAGAAUGCCAACUUCCGAUCUUUCAUAUUCAGAGUCAGGGUCAAAGUAGAGACCUACAACGAAGAGUCUCGAAUUAAGGCCACUGUGAUGGACGUGAAGUCGGUGGACUACAGAGAGUACAGCCGAAGGCUGGUCCUGAGCAUCAGGAGAAGCGCGUCGAUGUGAGGAGAGCAGUGCCGAUUGGGCAGAAGUUUGCAAAUAAAGAGCCAGAAUAGAAUCGAUUUCCUCCCACCUCUGUGUGACGAUCCCAUGUUGGCUACUCAGCACAGAGGCUCUCUAUGCUGGACUAAGCAAUUUCCUCUCUUGUGUACAUCUCAGAACCCAUCAGUAGGCAAAGGAAAAUAUGUGCGGGUGGCUGUGGUGUAGACCGUGUCAGGCCUAGGGAGUCAGCCAGUGGUUAGUGUAAGACCAGUCACUCCCUCUGCCUUCAGGCUUUUGUAAAUUUCAUUAUCAUCAAGCAGGAAUUAUGUCAUAAGUCACUGACCCUAACUGCAGACCAUGAAGUAAAUUAUGUAACAAGGUUUUUCCUGCUCCAGCAGUGACCCCCCAACCUCACAACUUGGGUUCUUCUCAGCAGGGAGAGCUGAGAAGCGUUUGUGGGCACCUGGGUAUUUUAGUAACUGUGUCUUCCUAGAAUUCAAAGGCUCUUUCUUUCUAGAGGUGCUACAUAGUUGUUAAUGCUUGGAAUGGCAAUAGGGUAGAAUUAUUAAUCAAAGGCAUCUCUUUUAUAUCUGAAGAGUAUCCUUCCUACAGGGUUUAAUAGACUGAGUCAGAUGGGUCUGAUAUUAAUCAAAAUUGUCUCUUCUGAGGACUGCUGAUAAGCAUUAACUUGCUGUCCCCUAGGGAAAUCCAAGCGACUACAAAGCGUUUCUUUAGUUUUCAUUUCAAUUAAUGUUGCAUUUCGCUUGGUGAAUGCAUACUUUUUCUACCUGUACAUAUUCCUGGCAUUCGUAUAUUUUGUUUUUUUGACUAAAGCUACGUUACAUGGAAAGGAUUUUGAAGCCUUUUGUUUCCCUUGCUUUGUUUUAAUAAACAGUAAAUACUUUGCUUGUGAA